ensembl:lncRNA
UCUUCCUGUUUCACAUUAUCUAUUAUCUGGAUCUGGAAAAAAUGAAAUCAGAAAUAAUUUCUCAGAUAACAGGAGAAAUUGUGCCCCUAGUGCAAGACACGAUUAAUAAAUCUAGAGAGGAGCUCAGGAACAUGAUGGAAUCCCAACAUAGGAAACAAAUGGAAUCCAUAAAACAGAUGCAAAUAGAUUUCCAAGAGAUUAAAAACUCCAUCGAAUGUCUGCACAGCAGAAUGAACCAAUGUGAGGAUAGAAUUUCAGAUAUAGAAGAUAAGAUUGCAAUUAGU